rnacentral:rRNA from 1 species
CGAAGUGGCGGGGUGCUUACCAUGCAAGUCGAACGAUGAAGCCGCUUCGGUGGUGGAUUAGUGGCGAACGGGUGAGUAACACGUGGGCAAUCUGCCCUGCACUCUGGGACAAGCCCUGGAAACGGGGUCUAAUACCGGAUAUGAUCACCGGCCGCAUGGUCUGGUGGUGGAAAGCUCCGGCGGUGCAGGAUGAGCCCGCGGCCUAUCAGCUUGUUGGUGGGGUGAUGGCCUACCAAGGCGACGACGGGUAGCCGGCCUGAGAGGGCGACCGGCCACACUGGGACUGAGACACGGCCCAGACUCCUACGGGAGGCAGCAGUGGGGAAUAUUGCACAAUGGGCGCAAGCCUGAUGCAGCGACGCCGCGUGAGGGAUGACGGCCUUCGGGUUGUAAACCUCUUUCAGCAGGGAAGAAGCGCAAGUGACGGUACCUGCAGAAGAAGCACCGGCUAACUACGUGCCAGCAGCCGCGGUAAUACGUAGGGUGCGAGCGUUGUCCGGAAUUAUUGGGCGUAAAGAGCUCGUAGGCGGCCUGUCACGUCGGAUGUGAAAGCCCGGGGCUUAACCCCGGGUCUGCAUUCGAUACGGGCAGGCUAGAGUUCGGUAGGGGAGAUCGGAAUUCCUGGUGUAGCGGUGAAAUGCGCAGAUAUCAGGAGGAACACCGGUGGCGAAGGCGGAUCUCUGGGCCGAUACUGACGCUGAGGAGCGAAAGCGUGGGGGAAAAAAAAAAAAAAGGGGGGUG